CAUGGAGGAGUGACUUCACCAACAUCACUCAUAGGUGCUUGUGUCCAUGGUGAGAAGGGUGAUGGAGAGAAGUGGCUGCAGUUCCCACCCAUGGAGAGGUCACUGGUGAAUCCCAGCUAAAGAGGAAGGACAGGCCCGGCCUGAGUCCCACAGGUGGGCUCAGCCCCUCUCCUUACCGAAUGUAGCCAACUUGAGGCCGGUGCAGAAGCUGCCAGCGAUAGGAGGUCUUGUCCCGCCAGCCCACAUUUCGUGGGUCUGUCCACAGCAGUCGUACCUGAUCAGGGGUGUGGCCAGUAUGCCACAGGGCAUUUCGGAGGUGCUCACCUGGGCCAGACACUGAUGUCACUGCCUAGGAGACAUUGGCAAAGACAGUGAGUCAACUGCAGAACUGGAGUGAGGGGAGACAACAGGUCGGCUUACCAUCUGAGUCCUUCUGAUUGGGAUUGGGUACCAGGCGGCAGUUAUCAGGACCAGGAGGCACAUAAUCUGGGAUGCCAUCAUUGUCAUCAUCCCCAUCACACUCAUCUCCAAGUCCAUCGUUAUCAGAGUCCAGCUGGGAGCUAUUUGGCAGCUGUGGGCAGUUGUCCUUGGUGUCCUGAUGCCCAUCCCCAUCGCUAAUCAGAAGAACAGUCCACACUCUGCCUAACGCUACGCCCUACCUCACAUUCCUAUUGACAUCUGCUGCAGGUAAUCUCUCCUCACCCAGGCCAACGUCCACAAGCCUGCCUCCCUACUUCACAGAGACUUCCUAGCUUCCCUGCUUCAUCCCCACCUGAUCCAAAUUCUCACAGGUCCCCCAGCCACCCCUUCAGCCCCAGGCCUGCACCAUCCCCAUCCACGUCGUUGUCACAGGCAUCUCCUUCCCCAUUGCCAUCUGUGUCCUUCUGGUCAUUGUUGGGAACGUUGGGGCAAUUGUCACAGGCAUCACCAAAUGAAUCUGUAUCUGAGUUCUGCUGGUCUUUGUUGGGGAACAGCCGGCAGUUGUCC
rnacentral:lncRNA from 1 species